AUACGUAGGUGACAAGCGUUAUCCGGAUUUACUGGGCGUAAAGGGCGUGUAGGCGGUCUUGCAAGUCAGAAGUGAAAUUCCUGAGCUCAACUCGGGCGCUGCUUCUGAAACUGCAGGACUUGAGUGCUGGAGGGGAUAGCGGAAUUCCUAGUGGAGCGGUAAAAUGCGCAGAUAUUAGGAAGAACACCGGUGGCGAAGGCGGCUAUCUGGACAGUAACUGACGCUGAGGCGCGAAAGCGUGGGGAGCAAACAGGAUUAGAUGCCCUGGUAGUCCACGCCGUAAACGAUGAAUACUAGGUGUAGGGGGCAUCGACUCCCUCUGUGCCGCAGUUAACACAAUAAGUAUUCCGCCUGGGGAGUACGGCCGCAAGGUUGAAACUCAAAUGAAUUGACGGGG
rnacentral:rRNA from 1 species